rnacentral:tRNA from 1 species
GGUGAAAUGGCUCAGUGGUUGAGAGCAUUGAGUACUCUUCCAGGGGUCCUGAGUUCAAUUCCCAGCACCA